rnacentral:rRNA from 1 species
GACGAACGCUGGCGGCGUGGAUUAGGCAUGCAAGUCGAACGGUAUACGGGUCUUCGGACCUGUAGAGAGUGGCGAACGGGUGAGUAACGCGUAGGUGAUCUACCUUCAGAUGGGGGGACAACCCAGGGAAACUUGGGCUAAUACCGCAUGUGGCUGAAAGGCUAAAGCCGGCCUCUGCUUGCAAGCUGGUGUCUGGAGAUGAGCCUGCGUCUGAUUAGCUAGUUGGUGGGGUAACGGCCUACCGAGGCGAUGAUAAGUAGGCGGCUUUAACGAGUGGUCGCCCACACUGGGAUUGAGAUACGGCCCAGACUCCUACGGGAGGCUG